rnacentral:lncRNA from 1 species
UUCUUUUUUCGUAAAGCAAAAUAUAUUCAACAUCAUAUAUGUACACGAAUAAAAAAAAGUUACAAAGAAGUCAACAACACUCCAAUACCAACCUGCCUACAAAUUGCAAGAUGAUUUUUAAAGACCAAAUGUGCAUUCAUUCUUACUUUUAAAAGAACACAGUAAUGCGAGUUACCUACCUAGCCUUUCCUUUUCUUAGAAAAUAAUAUUAAAAUACAAUAUACUCGUACUCAGUAAUUCAAAUUAUAUAUACACAUGUAAGCAGAAACAACGUGGCCCGGCGCACAUGUAGACAGUAAAUGCACUCGGACAUGGAAGGCAAGAUGUUCGCAAACACAGGCGAGUAUCUUCAAUAGGCAAGACGUGGAAUCUUUUGACUAAUAAGCUUUUAUUCGACAGUAGUUUUUACAUAAAUUACAUUGGAAUGAAAGAAGGGACGGAUCUUCAUUUUCUCGGAUUCGAGGCGGUUCAGAUCUGUCGUUCUAAAUAGUCAGAAACUCCUUGGGUGACUUGCAGCUAGCGCGUACAACGUCAUACGAAAAUUUUAUCUCCUUGGCUGCCAUCAUGGAUUCUUUGCUAUGCCUGGGAACUACAUUGACCUCCCUUCGACCAUAAUCGAACUUACAAGGUCAAGGAAUUUAAUAUUUGGUAUUUAAUAUGUGGCUCCAUCCAAUGCUUAUAACUUGAGAAAUAAAAUCUUUACACGCAA